GCAGGCUGGGUGGAGUCUAUCCCAAACGUUAUACGGUGAGAAGUGAGCUACACUCUGGACACGCUUUACCUCCUGCAGAAGUUUUAAAAGUUUUUCCUCAUAAAACACUUUUGGGGAAUAGCUGAUUUUGACUCAAGCAAAGCAAAAUGUUACUCAGUGAAUGUGUUGAAGCCUGGCAGUAGUUGAUUUAGGACAGAGCACCCUCUGCUGGAGAGUAAAAGUCAAUAAUCAAGCAGGGUUUAUACCUUAAGUAUUAAUGCACUGCAGCUAUUUGUAAUUUUCCUGUAAAAGUUCAUUUAAGAAGUAUUGCUUGAGUAGUCAUGACCAUCAUUUAUGUAGUGCGAUACAUGGAAUAAAAUAUUUUUAUAAAUAGGCUUUUGUCCAAUGUUGUACAAAGAUAGCUGAUAGCAGAUGGUGCUUUGUAUUUUAUGUGACAGCUACCAGGAAAUUAGUUGUUUGUUUUUUUUAGACAUUUCUUUUCUUUCCUACUUUUUUUCUCUGAUGACUACAAUCUAUACUGGAUGUUUUCACACUAACAGUAUAUUUUAAGCAACAUCAUCUGUCUUUUUUCUGGAGUUGCGAUUUAAAUGAUUUAUAUGAUUUAUAUGAUUCCUCAACCUUCCCUCUAGCUCCAUUGGGUCUACAUUUGUGCCUUUGAAUGUGACUUUCCUACAGGUACUGGAUGUAUUGUCAUUCAUUUUAGUGUAUUUAUGCCUUGCUUGAGAUGAAUUAUAAUCAAUUUUGCGAUCUUUGACUUGUCACUUGGUGGAAUCAACAACUCGAGUUUUGUUAUAUUUUAGCUUAAUCACCAAAUGCUUGUGGAUAAGGUUCUUCCAUCGUCCUCAGCAAAGUACUUUGUGCUUAGUCCUGCUCAUAUUCUAACAUACACAGAUAAGAUGGAGAAAAUGGAAGACAGAAAUGUGUUACGCAUUCAAAUAUUAUCAUUAUCAGUGUGUGCAUGUUAGUGUGCUGACAUUAGCAGGGCUUAGAUAGUGCUUAAGUACAGCCUCAUAAAGCUGCUGAUGUAGAUGUAGACUCCAGUUUUAAUAUGUCAGACAUGAUGUAAACUCCAAACCUUUUAUGUUCCGCC
ensembl:lncRNA